rnacentral:rRNA from 1 species
GACGAACGCUGGCGGCGUGCCUAAUACAUGCAAGUAGAACGCUGAAGCGAGGAGCUUACUCUUCUUGGAUGAGUUGCGAACGGGUGAGUAACGCGUAGGUAACCUGCCUUGUAGCGGGGGAUAACUAUUGGAAACGAUAGCUAAUACCGCAUAACAAUGGAUGACACAUGUCAUUUAUUUGAAAGGGGCAAUUGCUCCACUACAAGAUGGACCUGCGUUGUAUUAGCUAGUAGGUGAGGUAAUGGCUCACCUAGGCGACGAUACAUAGCCGACCUGAGAGGGUGAUCGGCCACACUGGGACUGAGACACGGCCCAGACUCCUACGGGAGGCAGCAGUAGGGAAUCUUCGGCAAUGGGGGAAACCCUGACCGAGCAACGCCGCGUGAGUGAAGAAGGUUUUCGGAUCGUAAAGCUCUGUUGUAAGUCAAGAACGGGUGUGAGAGUGGAAAGUUCACACUGUGACGGUAGCUUACCAGAAAGGGACGGCUAACUACGUG